AUUGAACGCUGGCGGCAGGCCUAACACAUGCAAGUCGAACGAGUGGCGGACGGGUGAGUAAUGUCUGGGCAACUUACUGAUGGUGGGGGAUCACUACUGGAAAAGGUAUCUUAUACCGCAUACCAUCGGAUGUGCCCAGCAGGGAUUGGCUAGUUGGUGGGGAAAAGGCUAACCUAGGCGACGACCCCUAGCUGGUCGGAGAGGAUGACCGGCAACACUGGAACUGGACCACGGUCAGAAGUCCAACGGGAGCCAGAAUUGGGGAAUAUUGCAAAUUGGGCGCAAGCCUGAUGCAGACAUGCCGCGGGGUUGAAACGGGCCUUGGGUUUGUAAAGUACGUUCAGCGGGGAGGCGUUACCCGAAGAGAAAGCAAAGGCUAACUCCGUGCCAGCCGCCGCGGUAAUUC
rnacentral:rRNA from 1 species